GACGAACGCUGGCGGCGUGCCUAACACAUGCAAGUCGAACGGAAAGGCCCUGCUUUUGUGUGGUGCUCGAGUGGCGAACGGGUGAGUAACACGUGAGUAUCCUGCCCUUUACUUUGGGAUAACUUCAGGCAACUGGGGCUACUACCGGCUAGCAGCUCCUGCUGCAUGGUGGGGUUUGGACAGUUUCGGCGGUUGGGGAUGUACUCGCGGCUUAUCAGCUUGUUGGUGGGGUAGUGGCUUACCAAGGCUUUGAUGGGUAGCCGGCCUGAGAGGGUGACCGGCCACAUGGGGACUGAGAGACGGAGCAGACUCCUACGGGAGGCAGCAGGGGGGAAUAUUGCACAGUGGGCGGAAGCCUGAUGCAGCAACGCCGCGUGCGGGAUGAAGGCCUUCGGGUUGUAAACCGCUUUCGCCUGUGACGAAGCGGGAGUGACGGUAAUGGGUAAAGAAGCACCGGCUAACUACGUG
rnacentral:rRNA from 1 species